GGAGAAAAAAGGUGUUAAGUGUGUAAAUGUCUGUCUACAGACAAAAGUCCUUCAAGGAAUCUUGUUCUCUCACCAGCAGAAAACCAGGUGAGGAGUUUGCUGCUGCAAACACAAAAUUAUUUGGGUUCUCAGAGGUUCACUCUCAGUGCUAGUCUCAAAGCCCACGACAACAGGCAGGUAGGUGACACAGAUGAGGCAGAUCAGCUGGAAGACAGGCUGGACUGGGGUGUGAGAUGUCCUAAAAACAUUAGUGUCAUCUUUGCUUGCUGGGCUGAGCUGCGAGAAAGGCCGGGGUGGCAGAUCCAUCUCUUUCCAUCAGUUGCAUGGGGAAAGGGCAAUAAAUAAAUGUAUAAACAACACCAAGUCAGUAAAGGUACAGUACUCUACCUUCUUACUUGCUCUGUGCAGACAUCUAUUGAUUCAGUUGGAUUAGACUUUGGGGUUGUGUUGAUUUUCUUCCUGUGCUGCUUCUACAAGCUUACCCUGAAAGGGAAGAGACUCACUGCCUUAGUGGCUCUCUGCAGUUUAUUAUCAGUGCUCUGCCUUUUAAACACAGGUCUUCUCAGCAGGGAACAUGGUGCUUCUCUUCUGCACUUUCCUACUUAAGCUGGUGUUCUACCCCCUUCCCUCGGGAUGAAAUGUGGGGGGUUGCCCUUUACAAGAAGACUCUUCACUGAGUCCUUUUAUACAGAAGAGGCUGAAGUUCAGGUGAGAAAGUUGAAUUUUUUGUUAGUCCCACCCCCACUCCUUGUUAAUUUUGCAUAGGAAAUGUUGCAGGGUGGCAUCUUUUCCCUUCAGCCUUCCCCAAGUUGCACCACUUGCAGCCAUAGGAGCAUUAGGUGCUGCUGUUGCAGGAAAAGGCACAAACGGAGAAAAUUGCCCAUGACUGAGUUCUCCCACUGCCUGGUGAUCUGAAGCACAACCCACCGGGCCCACCAGCUCCUGCCAUGCAGCCGAAUCUCUGCCUGCUCCGUUUCACGCUGGAGUUUGAUCUUAAGCGCCAGUGGAAGGUCAAGGAGGCCUGUGCAGGUGUGGGAUAUGUGCUGCCCAUGAAGUCUGGCCAGCACUGCCUGUACCUCUUCCUCGGCUUUCCUGCUGCUGCCGGAUGGGUUUUCACCCUCAGCAGCAGGAAAAUGGGAUGCCUCAAAGACACAAAAGCCAGGGUUUGGCACAGAGACAGAGGGAUGUCCAGUGGCCACAUCUGUACGUGAAAACAAGGGGAGAAUUUAUGCACACAAAAAGGAGACCUCUGUGAGCUUCACAGGAUAUUCCUGGACAAUUAAAUAUGUCAGUGUUAAUGAAGAAAGAUGGGAGCAGGCUCUGAUGAGGUCCACCCCUCCAUUCUUGUCUUAAACGACCUUGAGGAAAUCUCUUCUGCUCCUCUGACUAUCUGUUAAGUGGGAGUGGUCCUUGCUUUCCUCUCAGAGCAGGCUAAAUCAGUGUUUUGAGGAUAAACACAUCCAAGGUCUGUGAAAUGCUGAGUUUGUAUGGUGACAGAGGCUAUCAAAUGAUGUAAAAACAGAUUUGGGAUUAUGAGGCUUUCCCUCUGGAGACCAGGGCAGCUUCACUCCUGGGAAUUUUGGCUGCAUUGCUGGCUGAGGGCAGGGGUUUAUUUACUGGGUUAACAAUGUCUCUGGUCUACCCACCUCCUCUGGGGACCAAAUCCUUCCAGAUGCUGUGUAAUUAAUAAAAUGGUAGGUUGCAGUUCAUAACCUAUUAAUGACAAAAAAGAUACUAUGAGUUGAUCUCUAUGAGAAGUCUACUUCUUUGAAGAGAAGACUUAUUACAAAUCUCAUGGAACAAAAUUAAGGGGAGAUUGACUUGGGGCUCCCCCUUAAAUUGAAGUUACCUUCCUUGCCAUGUGCAACAAAAGGUUUGAAAUAGAAUUUCAUAAGAAACAGAGCAGAGCAAUCAGCAGCAAUGUCAAGCCCUCAAAAAUGUUGUGUGGGGGAAACUGAGGCCAAAACUGGAAGUGCAGGGACAUUGAAGAACUCUCCAAGAGGCAAGAAGGGAGUGCAGGGGAGAGAAACUUGUAGGCACACUAUCCUAAUGGACAGAUUUAUUCCAACAGUGAAGAAACUCAGAAGGAAGCAAAGCACACUACAAUUCAGAGGAAAAGCCCUGAAAAACAAGGAAAAGACUGCAAAGGUUCUGGCAUCCUUUGCUCCUGUGUCUGGAAGAUAUUCAAGAGGAGUGAGAAAAGGCAAAGGAAGGCUUUGUGGACAGGCAGGUUGCCCUGAUGUGCCACAGUUUUCCUCAUACAUCUGCCCCAAGGUAUGGCUCUGCUUGGAAAUUCAUAUUGGCAUUGAACAGCUUAAAUAACACCGGCAACAACACCCAUCAGAUUCUCUUGAAAAUACCCAGGGCUGCUUGCUACCUGCUGUCCAAGACUCAGAACUCAGCUCUACCCCACGUGAACCUCUCAGGUCUUUUGGGGUGGCUGUGGAAGUGGAUUGGAUUCAGACAAGACCAAACAAGACAGUCACUGAGUCCACUCUGCCAAAGAGAAACUGCAGAAAGCUGGAAAAUGUCACUUCCUCUCCAGCCAAAAUACCCCCAAACCAGGCUUCUGCCUUCAAAUUUGCCCUGUCCUGUCCACAUGCAAACACCAAAGUCAUGGGGAGGCAGCCCUGGAAACUCCUAUUUGCACAGAUCCAACCUGUCGAGCUCAGAAGGGCACUCACAGUUGCACAGAACAACAGCCCAGUGACUUUGUCUAAGGUCCACCACUGUGCUAAAGUGGACUGCAAAAUAAAGAAUCACUUUUUAUUUUAAGUGA